rnacentral:rRNA from 1 species
UACGUAGGUGGCAAGCGUUGUCCGGAAUUAUUGGGCGUAAAGAGCUCGUAGGCGGUCUGUUGCGUCGGCUGUGAAAACCCGGGGCUCAACUCCGGGCCUGCAGCCGAUACGGGCAGACUAGAGUUCGGCAGGGGAGACUGGAAUUCCUGGUGUAGCGGUGAAAUGCGCAGAUAUCAGGAGGAACACCAAUGGCGAAGGCGGCACUCUGGGUCGGCCCUGACGCUGAGGCGCGAAAGCGUGGGGAGCGAACGGGG